ACUUUAGAAAGACAAAGAGUUUCAGUAAAUAGUAAACUCUAGCCUCCAUUUGAUUCUGACCUAUCAGAUUUCGUAUGUAGUAUAUAGGACUACAUUGUACGACAACGGGUACGGAGAAUUAGAGUUUGAUUCCGGAGAAAACGCUUGAGAGACGGCGAUUAUUUCUAAGGAAAGCAGCAGGUGCGCAAAUUAUUCAAUCAGAGAUGCAAUCUGGAGAUAGUGAAAAGAAAUAGGAAUGCUUAUUAGAUCGAAAGAUCUUGAGCAAUCUAAUGAAUUAAAGUUGAAAAGAUUAUUAUGAGUAACAAAUGGAGGGGCAAGUCUGGUGCCAGCAGCCGCGGUAAUUCCAGCUCCAUGAAUAUAUAUCAGAGUUGUUGUAGUUAAAAAGCUCGUAGUUGAAACUUGAAUCUUUUCUCUUCUGUUUUAUAGAAAUAUAAGGAGAUGGAGGAUUGAUUUUUUAAUUGUGAAGGUGAUAGAGUGCUUGUGGGAG
rnacentral:rRNA from 1 species